AUUAGGUUGUAGGUAGGGUAAUGGCCUACCUAGCCUAUGAUGGAUAGGGGUUCUGAGAGGAAGGUCCCCCACAUUGGAACUGCGACACGGUCCAAACUCCUACGGGAGGCAGCAGUGAGGAAUAUUGGUCAAUGGCCGGAAGGCUGAACCAGCCAAGUAGCGUGCAGGAAGACUGCCUUAUGGGUUGUAAACUGCUUUCUUACGGGAAUAAUUAUGAUCACGUGUGAUUAUUUGCAUGUACCGUAAGAAUAAGGAUCGGCUAACUCCGUGCCAGCAGCCGCGGUAAUACGGAGGAUCCUAGUGUUAUCCGGAUUUAUUGGGUUUAAAGGGAGCGUAGGCGGGAGGUCAAGUCAGCUGUGAAAUGUAUCUGCUUAACGGGUACACUGCAGUUGAAACUGGUUUUCUUGAGUGCGUAAGAGGCAGGCGGAAUUCGUUGUGUAGCGGUGAAAUGCUUAGAUAUGACGAGGAACUCCUAUUGCGAAGGCAGCUUGCUGGGUCGUUACUGACGCUGAUGCUCGAAGGUGCGGGGAUCAAACAGGAUUAGAUACCCUGGUAGUCCGCACAGUAAACUAUGGAUACUCUCUGCCGGCGAUAUAUUGUCGGUGGCCAAGCGAAAGCGUUAA
rnacentral:rRNA from 1 species